rnacentral:rRNA from 1 species
GAAUUCGCCCUUAGAGUCCUUCCUGGCUCAGGACGAACGCUGGCGGCGUGCUUAACACAUGCAAGUCGAACGGAGCACCCUUGAAGGAGUUUUCGGACAACGGAUGGGAAUGCUUAGUGGCGGACUGGUGAGUAACGCGUGAGGAACCUGCCUUCCAGAGGGGGACAACAGUUGGAAACGACUGCUAAUACCGCAUGAUGCGUUGGAGCCGCAUGACUCCGACGUCAAAGAUUUAUCGCUGGAAGAUGGCCUCGCGUCUGAUUAGCUAGUUGGUGAGGUAACGGCCCACCAAGGCGACGAUCAGUAGCCGGACUGAGAGGUUGGCCGGCCACAUUGGGACUGAGAUACGGCCCAGACUCCUACGGGAGGCAGCAGUGGGGAAUAUUGGGCAAUGGACGCAAGUCUGACCCAGCAACGCCGCGUGAAGGAAGAAGGCUUUCGGGUUGUAAACUUCUUUUAAGGGGGAAGAGUAGAAGACGGUACCCCUUGAAUAAGCCACGGCUAACUACGUGCCAGCAGCCGCGGUAAUACGUAGGUGGCAAGCGUUGUCCGGAUUUACUGGGUGUAAAGGGCGUGCAGCCGGAGAGACAAGUCAGAUGUGAAAUCCACGGGCUCAACCCGUGAACUGCAUUUGAAACUGUUUCCCUUGAGUGUCGGAGAGGUAAUCGGAAUUCCUUGUGUAGCGGUGAAAUGCGUAGAUAUAAGGAAGAACACCAGUGGCGAAGGCGGAUUACUGGACGAUAACUGACGGUGAGGCGCGAAAGCGUGGGGAGCAAACAGGAUUAGAUACCCUGGUAGUCCACGCUGUAAACGAUCGAUACUAGGUGUGCGGGGGACUGACCCCCUGCGUGCCGGAGUUAACACAAUAAGUAUCGCACCUGGGGAGUACGAUCGCAAGGUUGAAACUCAAAGGAAUUGACGGGGGCCCGCACAAGCGGUGGAUUAUGUGGUUUAAUUCGAAGCAACGCGAAGAACCUUACCAGGGCUUGACAUCCUACUAACGAAGUAGAGAUACAUCAGGUGCCCUUCGGGGAAAGUAGAGACAGGUGGUGCAUGGUUGUCGUCAGCUCGUGUCGUGAGAUGUUGGGUUAAGUCCCGCAACGAGCGCAACCCCUAUUGUUAGUUGCUACGCAAGAGCACUCUAGCGAGACUGCCGUUGACAAAACGGAGGAAGGCGGGGACGACGUCAAAUCUUCAUGCCCCUUAUGUCCUGGGCUACACACGUAAUACAAUGGCGGUCAACAAAGGGAUGCAAAGCCGCGAGGCAGAGCGAACCCCAAAAAGCCGUCCCAGUUCGGAUAGCAGGCUGCAACCCGCCUGCGUGAAGUCGGAAUCGCUAGUAAUCGCGGAUCAGCAUGCCGCGGUGAAUACGAAAGCGGGCCUUGUACUCUCCGCCCGUCA